GAGCUUGUGUCUCCAUAUUUGAUAAGAUUCCUAAUGUAGGCGUCGUAAUUUGGUUAUUUCCAGACGUUCCAGACUCUGUAACCAAUCUUAGUCUUUGCUUUUGAAAUAAUUUAGGGAAUCUGAGAGGGAAAUGAUUGAAGAGAAGAAAUGUCAGGAAAAAGAAGGCAAAUGUGGAGCUUGGAAUUAAGUUGAGAUUGAGAUGAUGAAAAGUUUGGGCGUUGCGAGAGCUACAGUGGUCCGACCUCAGACUUCAAAGAAAAGGAGGGCUACAAACCAAAUGUUAAACUCGACUACACAGAUGAUGAUGGACACAUACUUAAUGCAAAGGAGGCUUUCAGAUACCUGUCUUGUGAAUUUCAUGGAAAGGGACCUGGCAAAAAUAAAGUGGAGAAACGAAUGAAGAAAACUGAACAGGAGGGAAUGAGCUCAACAGACACCCACUCGGAACACUUAGCCUCUUGCAGCAGAAGCAGAAAGAAAUGCAGUCUCCUCUCG